GUUCACCUGCCGAUUCGCGGCUAUAGAAUCUCAGUCGUACGAAGCGACAACCCGUCACCGCGAACGCCAUGUGUGGUGGCCUAAACAAUAUCGCGUCUGCCUCUAACAGGGCAGUCAUCCGCGGAAAGCAGUUUCUCGACUCGUCGACAAACAAAAACGGAGCGCUUGCCACGAUGCUGACUUCUAGAAGAUUCCACGUCACACCGACGCUGUUCAAGGCUACUGCAGAGAGGACUACUCCGCCAACGGCAAAUGACGGGUCUUCCAGCUCCUCGAUUUCGUCCCCAUCACCGAGACUGGAAGCUUCUGGCUGGAUCCCGUCGCCCUCGUCAGCAAGACUGGACGCAGCCUGCUCCACUUCAUCAUUCUCCACACAUUCGCAAGACAAAGCCAUGCCCUCAUUCUCCGGUUUCAUCGUCGCUGUGAAAACGUGAGAGUGUUCCUUUGUACGUUAAAAUUUCGGACUGACCACAGAUUGGUCCUAACGACAAGUUGUUAGCUGCAACUAACAGCGAAAUCUAGAUCGUCGACACGACGUUCUUACACGAAACCUGUAGAUCUGAUUUCUUAUACUAUUAUGUACUCACAUGAGAUCUUUGACAAUAAAUAUUCAUUUGACUACAAUACCCAACAA